AACGAACGCUGGCGGCAUGCCUAACACAUGCAAGUCGAACGAGACCUUCGGGUCUAGUGGCGCACGGGUGCGUAACGCGUGGGAACCUGCCCUUAGGUUCGGAAUAACUCCCCGAAAGGGGUGCUAAUACCGGAUAAUGUCUUCGGACCAAAGAUUUAUGGCCUUUGGAUGGGCCCGCGUUGGAUUAGCUAGUUGGUAGGGUAAAAGCCUACCAAGGCGACGAUCCAUAGCUGGUCUGAGAGGAUGACCAGCCACACUGGGACUGAGACACGGCCCAGACUCCGACGGGAGGCAGCAGUGGGGAAUAUUGGACAAUGGGCGAAAGCCUGAUACAGCAAUGCCGCGUGAGUGAUGAAGGCCUUAGGGUUGUAAAGCUCUUUUACCCGGGAUGAUAAUGACAGUACCGGGAGAAUAAGCUCCGGCUAACUCCGUG
rnacentral:rRNA from 1 species